AGAUUGAACGCUGGCGGCAUGGCUAAAACAUGCAAGUCGAGCGAGCGGCGAAAGGGUGAGUAAUGCAUUCCUACGUGCCCCGGGUCAGGGACAGCUCAGGGAAACCUGAAUUAAUACCUGAUGGGAGCGGGGAAUGUCCUAUCAGCUAGUUGGUGAGGUAACGGCUCACCAAGGCUUCGACGGGUAGCGGGUGUGAGAGCAUGGCCCGCCACAUCGGGACUGAGACACUGCCCGGACUCCUACGGGAGGCUGCAGUAACGAAUCUUCCGCAAUGCGCGAAAGCGUGACGGAGCGAUGCCGCGUGCAGGAUGAAGCCCUUCGGGGUGUAAACUGCUGUCAGGGUUUAUGAUCAAACCCAAAGGAAGAGACGACUAACUCUGUGCCAGCAGUCGCGGUAAUACAGAGGUCUCGAGCGUUAGUCGGAAUCACUGGGCUUAAAGCGUACGUAGGCGGAUCUGCAGGCGUCGUGUGAAAUCCCUUGGCUCAACCAAGGAACUGCACGGCGAACCGCAGGUCUUGAGACAAGUAGGGGCGGUCGGAACGAUAGGUGGAGUGGUGAAAUGCGUUGAUAUCUAUCGGAACGCCGAAGGUGAAAACAGACCGCUGGGCUUGUUCUGACGCUGAGGUACGAAAGCGUGGGUAGCGAACGGGAUUAGAUACCCCGGUAGUCCACGCCGUAAACGAUGUGCACUAGAUCGAGCGGUCGAAGUAAAAACGUUGAGUGCACCGCC
rnacentral:rRNA from 1 species